CUUAUUCCUGCGCAAACCGACUCAAACCAAUCGGAUGCUAUAAGCUUCCGCGGUCCUCAACCCUGUACCCUGGUCUCUUUCUUAAGGUCAGGGUUCUUUGGGACAUUAUCCCAAACACCUGGAUCCUCUGUUUUUCUCAAAUUCAUCAUUUCACGAUGGCCGACGCCUUUGAAUUGGAGGACGUUCCCGAUUCUUUUCUCUGUUGCAUUUGUCUGGAUCUUCUAUACAAACCUAUAGUGCUCUCUUGUGGUCACAUGUCCUGUUUCUGGUGUGUCCAUAAAUCCAUGAAUAGUCUACGAGAGUCCCAUUGUCCAAUUUGUAGGCAUCCAUAUAAUUACUUUCCAUCCAUCUGUGAGAUGCUGCACUUCUUGCUCUUGAAGAUGUAUCCCAUUGCCUAUAAGAGAAGGGAAGAACAAAUUCUAGCGGAAGAAAAAGAAAUGGCCUUGUUUUCACCUCAAUUUGAUUGCAAUGCAUGUCGGUCACAUGCCAAUCAAGAAUAUGGUCACCUGAGGGAUCCUGAACGUGCCUCAACUACUAGUUUGGAGCCCAACUCAUGCUCAGAGUCUUGUUCCAGCAGCAAACGAGAGCCUAAUGGAAAUUGCAAGAUGGUGUCAAUCACUGAUGUACAGUGCACAGCAUGCAAGCAACUGCUUUUUCAUCCAGUUGUCCUCAACUGUGGCCAUGGGUAUUGUGAGGCUUGCAUCCUGGCUUCAGUUGAUAAGGGGCUUAAAUGUCAGACGUGUCAAUCUCUACACCCAACUGGUUUUCUAGAAGUCUGUUUGGAGCUUGAUCAUUUUGUGGAGAAACAAUUCCCUAAAGAGUAUGCCUUGAGAAGAGAUUUUGUCCAGCUAAAACAGGCAUGCAUUGAGGUUGAGAAACAGACUACUUGUUCUAGAAGAGCUAGUAAAAAAAUUUCUCUUAUUUCAUCUGUGCCAAAGGAAGAGCAUUUGCUACAGGGGGCUAAUCCUACCGAGUUAAAGGUUCACAUUGGUGUUGGCUGCGAUUCUUGUGGGAUGUAUCCUAUAAUAGGGGAUAGAUACCAAUGCAAAGAUUGUGUUGAAAAAAUUGGUUUUGACCUUUGUGGAGACUGUUAUAAUACUCGCUCCAAGCGUCCUGGGAGGUUCAAUCAGCAGCAUACACCGAACCACAAGUUUGAGCGUAUAAAGUCCAGCUUUCAUCAUGUACUAAUGAGGCUGGUGAGUGACCAGUUUGAGGAUGUUUCUGUUGCUUUAACUGACUAUGAUGAUCCUUCAGAAGUUGCGGAAAAUGAAUCCCCCAUCUCCCCUUUGUCUGCUGACACUCAUGAGAGUACCAGAAAUAGUUUGGAUACUUCUGUUAUCCAAACCGAAGGUGCAGAUGAUCAAAAUGAGACCGAAUCAACAAUUUGAAUUUUCCCCAUUUGCGAUUGCAUUGGGUUUGGCUGUGUUGGUUUAUCAAAUCAUACCCAAAGAAGAACAAGUUUGCCAUGUUUCAAUGUAUAGUUUGGUACAUUUCUCGCCGUCUCGUAUAUUCACGGCUCCUAUAAAAUUACGUGAUCAUACGUUCUUGUUUUGUAGCCCUAAUUAGGUAUUGGCAUUUGCUUUGCCAUGCCUUAAUGUACUAAACAUCCUUCUUUCUGCAUGGUUUAUCUAUUUGGGCUUGUACGAUCCUUGGAUUUGCUUUAUAUCUUAUUCACUUUUUUUUUU
rnacentral:misc_RNA from 1 species